GACGAACGCUGGCGGCGUGCUUAACACAUGCAAGUCGAACGGAAAGGCCCUGCUUUUGUGGGGUGCUCGAGUGGCGAACGGGUGAGUAACACGUGAGUAACCUGCCCUUGACUUUGGGAUAACUUCAGGAAACUGGGGCUAAUACCGGAUAGGAGCUCCUGCUGCAUGGUGGGGGUUGGAAAGUUUCGGCGGUUGGGGAUGGACUCGCGGCUUAUCAGCUUGUUGGUGGGGUAGUGGCUUACCAAGGCUUUGACGGGUAGCCGGCCUGAGAGGGUGACCGGCCACAUUGGGACUGAGGUACGGCCCAGACUCCUACGGGAGGCAGCAGUGGCGAAUAUUGCACAAUGGGCGGAAGCCUGAUGCAGCAACGCCGCGUGCGGGAUGACGGCCUUCGGGUUGUAAACCUCUUUCGCCUGUGACGAAGCGUGAGUGACGGUAAUAGGUAAAGAAGCACCGGCUAACUACGUG
rnacentral:rRNA from 1 species